rnacentral:rRNA from 1 species
AUUGAACGCUGGCGGCAGGCUUAACACAUGCAAGUCGAGCGAGCGGCGGACGGGUGAGUAAUGUCUGGGAAACUGCCUGAUGGAGGGGGAUAACUACUGGAAACGGUAGCUAAUAACGCAUAACAUCAGAUGUGCCCAGAUGGGAUUAGCUAGUCGGUGGGGUAAGUGCUCACCUAGGCGACGAUCCCUAGCUGGUCUGAGAGGAUGAACAGCCACCCUGGAACUGAGACACGCGCCAGACUCCUACGGGAGGCAGCAUUGGGGAAUAUUGCACAAUGGGCGCAAGCCUGAUGCAGCCAUGCCGCGUGUGUGAAGAAGGCCUUCGGUUUGUAAAGCACUUUCAGCGAGGAGGCGUUACUCGCAGAAGAAGCACCGGCUAACUCCGUGCCAGCAGCCGCGGUAAUAC